rnacentral:rRNA from 1 species
AGUGAACGCUGGCGGUAGGCCUAACACAUGCAAGUCGAACGGCAGCACAGUAAGAGCUUGCUCUUACGGGUGGCGAGUGGCGGACGGGUGAGGAAUACAUCGGAAUCUACUUUUUCGUGGGGGAUAACAUAGGGAAACUUACGCUAAUACCGCAUACGACCUACGGGUGAAAGCAGGGGAUCUUCGGACCUUGCGCGAUUGAAUGAGCCGAUGUCGGAUUAGCUAGUUGGCGGGGUAAAGGCCCACCAAGGCGACGAUCCGUAGCUGGUCUGAGAGGAUGAUCAGCCACACUGGAACUGAGACACGGUCCAGACUCCUACGGGAGGCAGCAGUUGGGAAUAUUGGACAAUGGGCGCAAGCCUGAUCCAGCCAUACCGCGUGGGUGAAGAAGGCCUUCGGGUUGUAAAGCCCUUUUGUUGGGAAAGAAAAGCAGCAGGUUAAUACCCCGCUGUUCUGACGGUACCCAAAGAAUAAGCACCGGCUAACUUCGUG